rnacentral:lncRNA from 1 species
UUCACAGCACCAAAGUUCUCAACGCUUCUUCUAAAGUUCUUUUCCGAGCAACGCUUCUCGUAGCUCUUGUCCUCGUCCUCAUCUUCGCCAUCAACUACCCUCCACUCUCCGAUAGCCGCGCCGCCGCAGCACACCACCUCCACCGUCGUAGCUUCUUAUCCACCGGACUCUUCUCCUCCUCCUCUUCUUCCUCCUCUAUCGGUGGAGCCGCGUGGGAAAAGCGCGUUAGACAAUCCU